GACGUAGGGCGCGAGCGUUGUCCGGAUUUAUUGGGCGUAAAGCGCGUGUAGGCGGCUUGGCAAGUCCGCUGUGAAAACUCGAGGCUCAACCUCGAGAUGUCGGUGGAAACUGCUUGGCUAGAGUCCGGAAGAGGAGUGUGGAAUUCCUGGUGUAGCGGUGAAAUGCGCAGAUAUCAGGAAGAACACCUAUGGCGAAGGCAGCACUCUGGGACGGUACUGACGCUGAGACGCGAAAGCGUGGGGAGCGAACAGG
rnacentral:rRNA from 1 species